rnacentral:rRNA from 1 species
AAAUAGCUUCGGUUAUUUUCUUAGUGGCGGACGGGUGAGUAACACGUGAGGAACCUGCCUUUGAGAGUGGGAUAGCUUCUGGAAACGGAUGGUAAUACCGCAUAACAUAGUGAAACCGCAUGAUUUUGCUAUCAAAGUAUUUCGCUCAGAGAUGGCCUCGCGUCUGAUUAGAUAGUUGGUGAGGUAACGGCUCACCAAGUCGACGAUCAGUAGCCGGACUGAGAGGUUGAACGGCCACAUUGGGACUGAGACACGGCCCAGACUCCUACGGGAGGCAGCAGUGGGGGAUAUUGCACAAUGGGGGAAACCCUGAUGCAGCGAUGCCGCGUGGAGGAAGAAGGUUUUCGGAUUGUAAACUCCUGUCGUAAGGGAAGAGGAAGGACUGUACCUUACAAGAAAGCUCCGGCUAACUACGUGCCAGCAGCCGCGGUAAUACGUAGGGAGCGAGCGUUGUCCGGAAUGACUGGGUGUAAAGGGAGCGUAGGCGGGAUGGCAAGUCAGAUGUGAAACCUGAGGGCUCAACCUUCAGACUGCAUUUGAAACUGCUGUUCUUGAGUGAAGUAGAGGUAAGCGGAAUUCCUGGUGUAGCGGUGAAAUGCGUAGAGAUCAGGAGGAACAUCGGUGGCGAAGGCGGCUUACUGGGCUUUUACUGACGCUGAGGCUCGAAAGCGUGGGGAGCAAACAGGAU